UUCCGUUGGUGAACCUGCGGAAGGAUCAUUA
rnacentral:rRNA from 1 species